rnacentral:rRNA from 1 species
AUUGAACGCUGGCGGCAUGCCUUACACAUGCAAGUCGAACGGUAACAGGUCUUCGGAUGCUGACGAGUGGCGAACGGGUGAGUAAUACAUCGGAACGUGCCUAGUAGUGGGGGAUAACUACUCGAAAGAGUGGCUAAUACCGCAUGAGAUCUACGGAUGAAAGCAGGGGAUCGCAAGACCUUGUGCUACUAGAGCGGCCGAUGGCAGAUUAGGUAGUUGGUGGGAUAAAAGCUUACCAAGCCGACGAUCUGUAGCUGGUCUGAGAGGACGAUCAGCCACACUGGGAAUGAGACACGGCCCAGACUCCUACGGGAGGCAGCAGUGGGGAAUUUUGGACAAUGGGCGCAAGCCUGAUCCAGCAAUGCCGCGUGCAGGAUGAAGGCCUUCGUGUUGUAAACUGCUUUUGUACGGAACGAAAAGCCCUGGGUUAAUACCCUGGGGUCAUGACGGUACCGUAAGAAUAAGCACCGGCUAACUACGUGCCAGCCGCCGCCGUAAGAC